rnacentral:lncRNA from 1 species
GAAACUCCAAUCACCAUAAAUCAUUGAGACUCUCAUUUUUGUUCUGAGAUAUAUUUGGUUUGAUGGCUUUAGGGUAAGGUGCGAAGGUGAUCCUUGAAUUGUACUGUCUUUCAAGACUUGAACACAAGUUGAUCUACUUCUAGGCGACUUCUUCUCAAAUACUAAGACCCAUCAUAGUAAUUUCAUCUCUGCAUCGCUUCUCAAGGUAAGCCAAACCUUCAUUCUCCUAUCUAUUACAAUUGAUAGGACUAAAAUAUAUUCGAUUAUUACUCAUGGCCUGAUGCCUAACAUCCUUGAAGGCAUACAAAAUAUUUCUUGUGAAAUUCCCUUGAUUUUUUUUUCAAAAUCAUCAUCACAUAUAUUGCUAAUUUUUCUUAUUAAAAUCUUCUCAUUUAAAUUAAUUGGUUAUUUUGAACCAAAAAAAAAAAAAAAACUUUAUGAAUGGUUAGACCGGUUGACUCUGGUGGAAUCACAUGCUAGCCUUAUCUUGACGUUGUUUUCAAAACACAAAACAUUAAUGGUUAACUGAACUCUUGGGACAAAAAAGCCUACUUGAUAAAAAUUGUGAAAAUACCCUUCUAGACUCAAUUUUGGUCCAUUGGCCUUAUACAUACAACAAUUGUCCAAAAUUACUUAAAGCAUGAAAGAUCCAAAUACUCAGUUUUUGUGAAAAUAUUUCUUUUUUUCUUGAAAAUAGUUAAAAAAACUAUAUUUUUCCGAAUAUUGAUGGUGCUAGUCUAUUUCCUUCUAUAAUCGUACAAAAACUUUCACAGGCUACAGAUGAGAAUUAUCAACAACAAUUUUUUUUUCGAACAGGUCAGAUCAACCAGAAAAUUUUUGGAUGUCCAUAAUACCAUUUUUCAUUUUAUCGGCAAUUUUCUUAAUUUCUAGAAAAAUGACAGAAAAUUCAAAUGUCUUCCGGAAAUUAUGAAAAAAUCACAAUCAUAGGGGGUUGUUGUGCUGGUUAAAAUGGAAAGCUUGAAAGUGAGCAAAGCUGCUGCUUUCAACAUACUUACGCAUAUUUAAUAUGUGGACAAUUUUUAGGUGGACUUUAUCUUUGUGGAUUGAAUUAGAGAAACUCAUGAUAAAGUGUGGUUUUCAUGCGAUUUUACUGCUUAGAGCAAAGACAUGACUUUUAUAUAUAUAGCGUAGGAAAUUACCAACUUACAAUGGAUUUGACAAUAUGAUUUAUGCAUGUUUAGGGUGGGAGGAGAAUUUAGCAUUUGUAGGAGUAAGAACAUCUUUGAAAAUAAUAUAAUGGAAGAUUCAUACGUCGGUUAGAGCCACAUUUAUCAGUUUAACAAAAUGGCUUCUAAGUAGAUAUGAACAGAAGCGGUCAUUCUAUUCUUACCUUUUACUAUAAAAAAAGAAGAAGCGGUCAUUCUGUACUCUGGUCUGAAUUGUGUGGCUUGACUUGGCUUGCCACCUGAACAAUUUUAUUGCUUCUAGUCUAUCAGCCAUAUGAGGAUAUCGGUCCAUCAAUUAUAAUUUGAGACUAUCGCCUACUACUAAUUGGUCCUCUCUCUCUCUCUCUCUCGUUUCUCUCUUUAUCAUUCGCAUUCGGCCUCUCUCUUGCAGAACAAUUCGAGGCUAUUGUCUACUGAUUAGUCCUCACUCGCUUCCUCUAUUCUUUAUCCAUCUUGAAAGUUCUCGCCCAAGCUUGUUUACAGUCUCCUCUCUCUUCGGUCUCGUGCCUCUCUUAGCAUCUCAGCUCGCUUGUGGUAAUCACUUUUUCAUUCUUAUUAGCAUCCCAUUUAUUUUGAUUUUGUCACUUUAUUAUUGGAAUAAUUGGCUGAACUAAGUGUGCUCUGGGCCCUUUUUGUCUAUUGGGGUUGUGGGGGUGGUUGUUGAAUAGCAGAGGAGGGUCUUCUAUUCUCUCUUUUGGAGUCGCUGUUGCCUAUUGACGAGGUAUGUCCCCAG